rnacentral:rRNA from 1 species
UACGAAGGGGGCAAGCGUUGUUCGGAAUUAUUGGGCGUAAAGGGAGCGUAGGCGGUUCGGGCAAGUCUUUAGUGAAAUCUCUGGGCUCAACUCAAGAGUCUGCUGGAGAAACUGCCGGGCUGGAGUAUGGGAGAGGUGAGUGGAAUUCCGGUGUAGCGGUGAAAUGCGUAGAUAUCGGGAGGAACACCUGUGGCGAAAGCGGCUCACUGGACCAUUACUGACGCUGAUGCUCGAAAGCUAGGGGAGCAAACAGGAUUAGAUACUC